UGGAUUAGGCAUGCAAGUCGAGCGGGUGUAGCAAUACACCAGCGGCGAAAGGGACAGUAAUACGUAGAUACGUACCCUCCGGUCUGGGAUAGCUCGCCGAAAGGCGGGGUAAUACCAGAUGACGUCUCCGGACCAAAGGUGUGAUUCCACCGGGGGAGCGGUCUGCGUCCUAUUAGCUAGUUGGUAGGGUAAUGGCCUACCAAGGCAAUGAUGGGUAGCGGGUGUGAGAGCACGACCCGCGUCACUGGGACUGAGACACUGCCCAGACACCUACGGGUGGCUGCAGUCGAGGAUCUUCGGCAAUGGGCGCAAGCCUGACCGUGCGACGCCGCGUGCGGGAUGAAGGCUUUCGGGUUGUAAACCUC
rnacentral:rRNA from 1 species